CUUAAUGUUGCCUCGGCGGAUCAGCCCGCGCCCCGUAAAACGGGACGGCCCGCCAGAGGACCCAAACUCUAAUGUUUCUUAUUGUAACUUCUGAGUAAAACAAACAAAUAAAUCAAAACUUUCAACAACGGAUCUCUUGGUUCUGGCAUCGAUGAAGAACGCAGCAAAAUGCGAUAAGUAAUGUGAAUUGCAGAAUUCAGUGAAUCAUCGAAUCUUUGAACGCACAUUGCGCCCGCUGGUAUUCCGGCGGGCAUGCCUGUUCGAGCGUCAUUUCAACCCUCAAGCCCCCGGGUUUGGUGUUGGGGAUCGGCUCUGCCCUUCUGGGCGGUGCCGCCCCCGAAAUACAUUGGCGGUCUCGCUGCAGCCUCCAUUGCGUAGUAGCUAACACCUCGCAACUGGAACGCGGCGCGGCCAUGCCGUAAAACCCCAACUUCUGAAUGUUGACCUCGGAUCAGGUAGGAAUACCCGCUGAACUUAAGCAUAUCA
rnacentral:rRNA from 1 species